rnacentral:rRNA from 1 species
ACGCUCGACACCUACGGGAGCAGCAGUGGGGAAUAUUGCACAAUGGGGGAAACCCUGAUGCAGCGAUGCCGCGUGAAGGAAGAAGUAUCUCGGUAUGUAAACUUCUAUCAGCAGGGAAGAAAAUGACGGUACCUGACUAAGAAGCCCCGGCUAACUACGUGCUAGCAGCCGCGGUAAUCUGAGCGGGCUGGCAAGGC